rnacentral:lncRNA from 1 species
GUCCAGUCGAGGAUCCCGCGGAGGACGCGGCCCCCUCUGGUGGUGAGAAGGGCGACCUUCCUAGCACCGCCGAGGACGAGGGGCUUCGAGGGCCCGAGAAGGCGGGAGGCCCCAAAGGCGACCAUGGGUCAGACAUCGGGGCCACAGGGCCUGGGCGGGGGGCGUUCCUUCGGUUGGACGCGCCCUCGCCUGUCCCUGAACCCGAACCCUGGAACAGAGGCCUCAAGGGUCCGGAGCGAAGCCACCGACAGUGAUACGUGCAGCUAAUGGCCGGCUGGUGGCCUUGAUUUGCCCAACUGAGGGGCAGCGCGUCCCCCGGCCAAUCCGAAGUGCCUGGUGCCCCCUGGGAAGGUCUGCGGCCUCUGGAGAAGGCCUGUGUGUACUGGGAAAAUCUGCUCUCAAAGAAAGCUUGGCUGAAAAAUCAAACUUCACCAAAUCUGGACAUGUGGGGAGGAAGAGCUUGCCCUGUUUGAUGGUUAGAAAACAACACGCCUUGGAAAUGCCCUUUUAAAUUAUUUUUUAAUUUAUUUAUUGGUACUGGGGAUUGAACCCAAGGGCACUUAACCACUGAGCCUCACUAAGUUGCUGAGGCUGGCUUUGAACUUGCAAUCCUCUUGCCUCAGCCUCCCCAGCCACUGGGAUUCCAGGCCUGCACCAUGGUGCCUGGCCUCCCAUUUGUUUUAAACAAUCAGAAAUGACUUCUGGAAGCGACUUUGAAAUGGAGCCACCUCUGGAAGUGACACCAGGAGUGACACCUGUUCCCUUGAGCAGAAGCUGGGACAAGGAAGAGAAGCCGGUCCUGGGCCACAUGGGUCCACACUGUUUGUGUGGGGAUUUCACUCCUCAUUCCUGUCCGUGGGCUUUGUUUUGCUUUUGUGUGCAGAGUGUCUAUAAAGGACAAACGAGUCCUCAUCUACGUCCGCAGUCUUUCUAGAUGUUAAAGAGGUGGCCACUGUGUGACCAAGUACUGUUCGUAAGCAUAAAUUAUGUCCAUUUUGUAUUAAAAUUCCUGGGAAAGAAGGUCUUCUAAAGAUGUCAGCAUUGGGCUGGGGAUGUGGCUCAAGUGGUAGUGCGCUCGCCUGGC